rnacentral:tRNA from 1 species
AAUAGGGUGUCUGAAUAUGGAGCCACCUUGAUAGGGUGAAAAAUGCAACUCUUGCCCCUAUUA